rnacentral:rRNA from 1 species
UACGAAGGGGGCUAGCGUUGCUCGGAAUCACUGGGCGUAAAGCGCACGUAGGCGGUCUUUUAAGUUAGGGGUGAAAUCCUGGAGCUCAACUCCAGAACUGCCUUUGAUACUGAGAGGCUUGAGUCCGGGAGAGGUGAGUGGAACUGCGAGUGUAGAGGUGAAAUUCGUAGAUAUUCGCAAGAACACCAGUGGCGAAGGCGGCUCACUGGCCCGGUACUGACGCUGAGGUGCGAAAGCGUGGGGAGCAAACAGG